rnacentral:rRNA from 1 species
UACGUAGGGUGCGAGCGUUAAUCGGAAUUACUGGGCGUAAAGCGUGCGCAGGCGGUUUUGUAAGUCAGAUGUGAAAGCCCCGGGCUUAACCUGGGAAUGGCAUUUGGGACUGCAAGGCUUGAGUGCGGCAGAGGAGACUGGAAUUCCUGGUGUAGCAGUGAAAUGCGUAGAUAUCAGGAGGAACACCGAUGGCGAAGGCAGGGCUCUGGGCUGACACUGACGCUCAUGCACGAAAGCGUGGGGAGCAAACAGG